rnacentral:rRNA from 1 species
CCCUUAGAUGUUCUGGGCCGCACACGCGCUACACUGAAGGAGGCAGCGUGUACUCCUGGAUCGAAAGAUUUGGGUAACCCGCGAAUCUCCUUCGUGCUAGGGAUUGAGGUUUGCAAUUAUCCUUCAUGAACGAGGAAUUCCCAGUAAGUGCAAGUCAUAAGCUUGCGCUGACUACGUCCCUGCCCUUUGUACACACCGCCCGUCGCUACUACCGAUUGAAUGAUUUAGUGAGGACUUCGGACUGGGACCGAUGCGGCUUUCGGGCUGCGUCGGUAUUCUGGAAAGAUGUCCAAACUGUAUCAUUUAGAGGAAGUAUAAGUCGUAACA